UGGGGAAUUUUGGACAAUGGGGGAAACCCUGAUCCAGCCAUCCCGCGUGUGCGAUGAAGGCCUUCGGGUUGUAAAGCACUUUUGGCAGGAAAGAAACGUCAUGGGUUAAUACCCCGUGAAACUGACGGUACCUGCAGAAUAAGCACCGGCUAACUACGUGCCAGCAGCCGCGGUAAUACGUAGGGUGCAAGCGUUAAUCGGAAUUACUGGGCGUAAAGCGUGCGCAGGCGGUUCGGAAAGAAAGAUGUGAAAUCCCAGAGCUCAACUUUGGAACUGCAUUUUUAACUACCGGGCUAGAGUGUGUUAGAGGGAGGUGGAAUUCCGCGUGUAGCAGUGAAAUGCGUAGAUAUGCGGAGGAACACCGAUGGCGAAGGCAGCCUCCUGGGAUAACACUGACGCUCAUGCACGAAAGCGUGGGGAGCAAACAGG
rnacentral:rRNA from 1 species